GCUCUGAAUGCAGUCUUUUUUAUGCAAGGA
rnacentral:piRNA from 1 species